rnacentral:rRNA from 1 species
UUCGGAGGGUGCAAGCGUUAUCCGGAUUCACUGGGUUUAAAGGGUGCGUAGGAGGGCAGGUAAGUCAGUGGUGAAAUCCCCGAGCUUAACUUGGGAACUGCCGUUGAUACUAUCUGUCUUGAAUAUUGUGGAGGUGAGCGGAAUAUGUCAUGUAGCGGUGAAAUGCUUAGAUAUGACAUAGAACACCAAUUGCGAAGGCAGCUCGCUACACAUAUAUUGACUCUGAGGCACGAAAGCGUGGGGAUCAAACAGG